UGCAGCGACGCCGCGUGAGGGACGACGGCCUAUCGGGUUGUAAACCUCUUUCAGCACAGACGAAGCGCAAGUGACGGUAUGUGCAGAAGAAGGACCGGCCAACUACGUGCCAGCAGCCGCGGUAAUACGUAGGGUCCGAGCGUUGUCCGGAAUUACUGGGCGUAAAGAGCUCGUAGGUGGUUUGUCGCGUUGUUCGUGAAAACUCACAGCUCAACUGUGGGCGUGCGGGCGAUACGGGCAGACUAGAGUACUGCAGGGGAGACUGGAAUUCCUGGUGUAGCGGUGGAAUGCGCAGAUAUCAGGAGGAACACCGGUGGCGAAGGCGGGUCUCUGGGCAGUAACUGACGCUGAGGAGCGAAAGCGUGGGGAGCGAACAGGAUUAGAUACCCUGGUAGUCCACGCCGUAAACGGUGGGUACUAGGUGUGGGUUUCCUUCCUUGGGAUCCGUGCCGUAGCUAACGCAUUAAGUACCCCGCCUGGGGAGUACGGCCGCAAGGCUAAAACUCAAAGAAAUUGACGGGGGCCCGCACAAGCGGCGGAGCAUGUGGAUUAAUUCGAUGCAACGCGAAGAACCUUACCUGGGUUUGACAUGCACAGGACGUGCCUAGAGAUAGGUAUUCCCUUGU
rnacentral:rRNA from 1 species